rnacentral:rRNA from 1 species
UGAGGAAUAUUGGUCAAUGGACGAGAGUCUGAACCAGCCAAGUAGCGUGAAGGAUGAAGGUUCUAUGGAUUGUAAACUUCUUUUAUACGGGAAUAAACGGAUCCACGUGUGGAUUUUUGCAUGUACCGUAUGAAUAAGGAUCGGCUAACUCCGUGCCAGCAGCCGCGGUAAUACGGAGGAUCCGAGCGUUAUCCGGAUUUAUUGGGUUUAAAGGGAGCGUAGAUGGGUUGUUAAGUCAGUUGUGAAAGUUUGCGGCUCAACCGUAAAAUUGCAAUUGAUACUGGCAGUCUUGAGUACAGUUGAGGUAGGCGGAAUUCGUGGUGUAGCGGUGAAAUGCUUAGAUAUCACGAAGAACUCCGAUUGCGAAGGCAGCUUACUAACCUGUAACUGACAUUGAUGCUCGAAAGUGUGGGUAUCAAACAGGAUUAGAUACCCUGGUAGUCCACACGGUAAACGAUGAAUACUCGCUGUAGGCGAUAUACAGUCUGCGGCCAAGCGAAAGCAUUAAGUAUUCCACCUGGGGAGUACGCCGGCAACGGUGAAACUCAAAGGAAUUGACGGGGGCCCGCACAAGCGGAGGAACAUGUGGUUUAAUUCGAUGAUACGCGAGGAACCUUACCCGGGCUUAAAUUGCAACCGAAUAUGGCGGAAACGCUAUAGCUAGCAAUAGCGGUUGUGAAGGUGCUGCAUGGUUGUCGUCAGCUCGUGCCGUGAGGUGUCGGCUUAAGUGCCAUAACGAGCGCAACCCUUGCCGAUAGUUACUAACAGGUUAUGCUGAGGACUCUGUCGGGACUGCCAUCGUAAGAUGUGAGGAAGGUGGGGAUGACGUCAAAUCAGCACGGCCCUUACGUCCGGGGCUACACACGUGUUACAAUGGGGGGUACAGAGGGCUGCUACCACGCAAGUGGAUGCCAAUCCCAAAAACCUCUCUCAGUUCGGAUUGAAGUCUGCAACCCGACUUCAUGAAGCUGGAUUCGCUAGUAAUCGCGCAUCAGCCACGGCGCGGUGAAUACGUUCCC